UAUGUAGGGUGCAAGCGUUAAUCGGAAUUACUGGGCGUAAAGCGUGCGCAGGCGGUUUUGUAAGUCUGUUGUGAAAUCCCCGGGCUCAACCUGGGAAUGGCAAUGGAGACUGCAAGGCUAGAGUUUGGCAGAGGGGGGGUAGAAUUCCACGUGUAGCAGUGAAAUGCGUAGAUAUGUGGAGGAACACCGAUGGCGAAGGCAGCCCCCUGGGUCAAAACUGACGCUCAUGCACGAAAGCGUGGGGAGCAAACAGG
rnacentral:rRNA from 1 species